UACGAAGGGUGCAACCGUUGCUCGGAAUCAUUGGGCGUAAAGCGCACGUAGGCGGCCUGUUAAGUCGGAUGUGAAAUCCCUCGGCUCAACCGAGGACGUGCAUUCGAAACUGGCAAGCUCGAGUAUGGAAGAGGGUCGCGGAAUUCCCGGUGUAGAGGUGAAAUUCGUAGAUAUCGGGAGGAACACCAGUGGCGAAGGCGGCGACCUGGGCCAAUACUGACGCUGAGGUGCGAAAGCGUGGGGAGCAAACAGG
rnacentral:rRNA from 1 species